rnacentral:rRNA from 1 species
UACGUAGGGUCCGAGCGUUUGUCCGGAAUUACUGGGCGUAAAGAGCUCGUAGGUGGUUUGUCGCGUCUGCUGUGAAAACUGGAGGCUCAACCUCCAGCCUGCAGUGGGUACGGGCAAACUAGAGUGCGGUAGGGGAGAUUGGAAUUCCUGGUGUAGCGGUGGAAUGCGCAGAUAUCAGGAGGAACACCGAUGGCGAAGGCAGAUCUCUGGGCCGUAACUGACGCUGAGGAGCGAAAGCAUGGGGGAGCGAACAGG